rnacentral:rRNA from 1 species
GCAGUCGCCGCGGGAAUACGUAGGUGGCGAGCGUUGUCCGGAUUUAUUGGGCGUAAAGGGAGUGUAGGCGGUCUUUUAAGUCUGAUGUGAAAGCCCACGGCUCAACCGUGGAGGGUCAUUGGAAACUGGGAGACUUGAGUGCAGAAGAGGAGAGCGGAAUUCCAUGUGUAGCGGUGAAAUGCGUAGAUAUAUGGAGGAACACCAGUGGCGAAGGCGGCUCUCUGGUCUGUAACUGACGCUGAGGCUCGAAAGCGUGGGGAGCAAACAGGAUUAGAUACCCCAGUAGUCCCUGUCUCUUAUAC